rnacentral:rRNA from 1 species
GACGUAGGGCGCGAGCGUUGUCCGGAUUUAUUGGGCGUAAAGAGCUCGUAGGCGGCUUGUCACGUCGAUUGUGAAAGCCCGAGGCUUAACCUCGGGUCUGCAGUCGAUACGGGCUAGCUAGAGUGUGGUAGGGGAGAUCGGAAUUCCUGGUGUAGCGGUGAAAUGCGCAGAUAUCAGGAGGAACACCGGUGGCGAAGGCGGAUCUCUGGGCCAUUACUGACGCUGGAGGAGCGAAAGCGUGGGGAGCGAACAGG